rnacentral:rRNA from 1 species
AUCAACCGAGAUUCCCCCAGUAGCGGCGAGCGAACGGGGAGCAGCCCAGAGUCUGAAUCAGCAUGUGUGUCAGUGGAAGCGUCUGGAAAGUCGCAGGGUACAGGGUGAUACUCCCGUACACGAAGAUGCAUGUGCUGUGAACUCGAAGAGUAGGGCGGGACACGUGGUAUCCUGUCUGAAUAUGGGGGGACCAUCCUCCAAGGCUAAAUACUCCUGACUGACCGAUAGUGAACCAGUACCGUGAGGGAAAGGCGAAAAG